rnacentral:rRNA from 1 species
ACAUUGGGACUGAGACACGGCCCAGACUCCUACGGGAGGCAGCAGUGGGGGAUAUUGCACAAUGGGGGAAACCCUGAUGCAGCGAUGCCGCGUGGAGGAAGAAGGUUUUCGGAUUGUAAACUCCUGUCGUAAGGGAAGAGAAAGGACUGUACCUUACAAGAAAGCUCCGGCUAACUACGUGCCAGCAGCCGCGGUAAUACGUAGGGAGCGAGCGUUGUCCGGAAUGACUGGGUGUAAAGGGAGCGUAGGCGGGAUGGCAAGUCAGAUGUGAAACCUGAGGGCUCAACCUUCAGACUGCAUUUGAAACUGCUGUUCUUGAGUGAAGUAGAGGUAAGCGGAAUUCCUGGUGUAGCGGUGAAAUGCGUAGAGAUCAGGAGGAACAUCGGUGGCGAAGGCGGCUUACUGGGCUUUUACUGACGCUGAGGCUCGAAAGCGUGGGGAGCAAACAGGAUUAGAUACCCUGGUAGUCCACGCUGUAAACGAUGAUUACUAGGUGUGGGGGGAUUGACCCCUUCCGUGCCGCAGUUAACACAAUAAGUAAUCCACCUGGGGAGUACGACCGCAAGGUUGAAACUCAAAGGAAUUGACGGGGGCCCGCACAAGCAGUGGAGUAUGUGGUUUAAUUCGAAGCAACGCGAAGAACCUUACCAGGUCUUGACAUCGAGUGACGUAUCCAGAGAUGGAUAUUUCCUUCGGGACACAAAGACAGGUGGUGCAUGGUUGUCGUCAGCUCGUGUCGUGAGAUGUUGGGUUAAGUCCCGCAACGAGCGCAACCCUUAUCAUUAGUUGCUACGCAAGAGCACUCUAAUGAGACUGCCGUUGACAAAACGGAGGAAGGUGGGGAUGACGUCAAAUCAUCAUGCCCCUUAUGACCUGGGCUACACACGUACUACAAUGGCGAUCGAACAGAGGGAAGCAAGACAGCGAUGUGGAGCCAAUCCCAAAAAAUCGCCCCAGUUCAGAUUGCAGGCUGCAACUCGCCUGCAUGAAGUCGGAAUUGCUAGUAAUCGCAGAUCAGCAUGCUGCGGUGAAUACGUUCCCGGGCCUUGUACACACCGCCCGUCACACCAUGGGAGUCGGUAACACCCAAAGCCGGUCGUCUAACCUUCGGGAGGACGCCGUCUAAGGUGGGAUUGAUGACUGGGGUGAAGUCGAAACAAGGUAGCCGUAUCGGAAGGUGCGGCUG